rnacentral:rRNA from 1 species
AAUGAACGCUGGCGGCAGGCCUAACACAUGCAAGUCGAACGGAUCCUUCGGGAUUAGUGGCGGACGGGUGAGUAACGCGUGGGAACAUACCCUUUGGUACGGAAUAGCCUCGGGAAACUGGGAGUAAUACCGUAUGUGGUCGAGAGACGAAAGAUUUAUCGCCAAAGGAUUGGCCCGCGUUGGAUUAGGGAGUUGGUGGGGUAAUGGCCUACCAAGCCGACGAUCCAUAGCUGGUUUGAGAGGAUGAUCAGCCACACUGGGACUGAGACACGGCCCAGACUCCUACGGGAGGCAGCAGUGGGGAAUCUUAGACAAUGGGGGAAACCCUGAUCUAGCCAUGCUGCGUGAUCGAUGAAGGUCUUAGGAUCGUAAACCUCUUUUGUUUGGCCACAUGGCCGAAAGAAUAAGCACCUGCUAACCACGUGCCAGCCGCCGCCGUAA